CCUACGGGAGGCUGCAGUGGGGAAUAUUGGACAAUGGGGGGAACCCUGAUCCAGCCAUGCCGCGUGUGUGAAGAAGGCCCUCGGGUUGUAAAGCACUUUCAGUGAGGAAGAACGCCUGGUGGUUAAUACCCAUCAGGAAAGACAUCACUCACAGAAGAAGCACCGGCUAACUCCGUGCCAGCAGCCGCGGUAAUACGGAGGGUGCGAGCGUUAAUCGGAAUUACUGGGCGUAAAGCGCGCGUAGGUGGCUUGAUAAGCCGGUUGUGAAAGCCCCGGGCUCAACCUGGGAACGGCAUCCGGAACUGUCAAGCUAGAGUGCAGGAGAGGAAGGUAGAAUUCCGGUGUAGCGGUGAAAUGCGUAGAGAUCGGGAGGAAUACCAGUGGCGAAGGCGGCCUUCUGGACUGACACUGACACUGAGGUGCGAAAGCGUGGGUAGCAAACAGGAUUAGAUACCCCUGUAGUC
rnacentral:rRNA from 1 species